rnacentral:rRNA from 1 species
UGGGGAAUAUUGCACAAUGGGCGGAAGCCUGAUGCAGCAACGCCGCGUGCGGGAUGACGGCCUUCGGGUUGUAAACCGCUUUCAGCAGGGACGAAGCGUGAGUGACGGUACCUGCAGAAGAAGCACCGGCUAACUACGUGCCAGCAGCCGCGGUGAUACGUAGGGUGCGAGCGUUGUCCGGAUUUAUUGGGCGUAAAGAGCUUGUAGGCGGUUGGUUGCGUCUGGUGUGAAAGUCCAUCGCUUAACGGUGGAUCUGCGCCGGGUACGGGCAGGCUGGAGUGCAGUAGGGGAGACUGGAAUUCCCGGUGUAACGGUGGAAUGUGUAGAGAUCGGGAGGAACACCAGUGGCGAAGGCGGCCUGCUGGGCUUUAACUGACGCUGAGGCACGAAAGCAUGGGUAGCAAACAGGAUUAGAUACCCUGGUAGUCCAUGCCGUAAACGAUGAUUACUAGGUGUGGGGGGUCUGACCCCUUCCGUGCCGGAGUUAACACAAUAAGCAAUCCACCUGGGGAGUACGGCCGCAAGGUUG